ACUUCCGGCUUCCGUGCCUGAACCUUUCUUAAGCCUUCAGCUUUGGAGAAGUCCGGUGGUGUUAUCGGCCGGUUUUCGGCGAAAUUCUAAUCGGUUUCACACCCAACUUAGCUAGGCCCGGCCUCUGUAACUGCCUGGCAUCGAUCUCGCCCUCCACCGCUCAGCGACCCAGGUGAAGGCCUCAGGACUGCACUCUGCAUGAGACAACAGCUCAGAUUUGGUCAAGAUCUCAAAGUAGGAAAUUGGAACCCACUUACAGCUGACUAAAUUAAUACAGCAUUUGUAGCCACUUAUAUAAUAAUGAUAAAAGCUUUAUUUCUUACUUUGCUGUAUGGAGUGGAUAAACUCACCAAGGUACUAAGGCAGUGCAUGACAGGUCCUUAAAGAAUAUACACAUGGCAGGAAGGACCGGAAAAGGAGACAUAAAUGGGUAGCAGAGAAGCAGAAAAGCUAAAAUCUCCAAAGUAAAAUUAACGUAAAAGCAAAAAUUAAUGAAAUAGAAAAUAAAAUUGAUCAAAAUAAUAGCUGAUGUUUGAAGAACGAUAAAAUACAGACACUCAAAAUCAGGAAAAAUAGAGGAGAAAAUAUUGGAAACAAAGGGAACUUGUUACAGAUAUGAUGGAGACUUUGAAAAUCAGAAUAAAAUUAUUAUGUAUAGCCUUAAGCAGAUAAUUUUGAUAAUUGACUUAGACAAUUUUCUAAUAUAAAUUUCAAAAAAUUGGCACAAAAGUUAGAAAACCUUAACAAGGUAAUAAUCGUAAAAGAAUCUGUCCCCCGCAAAAGUCACUAGGAACAAAGCAUAGAUAAGAAUGGAGUGCUUCCCAACCAUGAAGCCAGCAUAACCCUAACUGAAUCUAAACAAGGGUAGUGAAAAAGACAAAAAGCCUAUAGCUGUCUCAUGAUUAUACAUGUAAAUAUCUUAAAGUAAAAUAUGAAUGAAGCCAGCAGUGCAUUAAGAUAAUAAUAUGUCAUGCUAAAUUUGGUUUACCUACCAAUACAGGAUAGAUCAACAUUAGACAAUACAGUAAUGAAAAUUUGCUACAUUAACAAAUAAAGGAGAAAAACUAUAUGAUCUUAGCUGAUGCUGAAAAAUUAGCAUCUAUUACUGAUUCAAAAAGAAGGAAAAAAGCUCAUCUUAAGCAAGUAAUGAACAGAAUCUUUCUUAACUGGAUGAAGAAUAUCAACUAGAAAUGAACAGUGUACUUAAUGUCAUAAUCCAAGGUAUUCUUUCAUUCCUACAAUUCAGAAUUAUGGACCCCGUGUAAUAAGGUAAAUGAGGUAUGAAAUUGGAAAGGAAGAAGUUAGACAAAUGACAGCAUUGUUUACCUGGAUAAGCCUAACAACUGUAAAAUAUUAAAAUUAUAACUAAUAGUUUGGUAAGAUGGUAAGCUUUCAGAGCGACAUCCAGAAUUAAGAUUUCCUAUAAACUAGAAAUAAUCAUCAAAUGUAAAGGAGGAAAGAUCUCAUGAAAGAUCUUAUUAACAUUAGCAGCAAACAGAAUGAAAUAUUCUAGGACUAAACCUAUCAAGAAAUGAUGAAAACCCAAAUGAAAGAUAAAACUUUAUUGGUAGACAUUACAGAAGAGCUGAAUAAAUGGAAAGACGGUAUGUCCCUACAGGAGUACACUUUGUAUUUUAAAGAUAAUGAUUCUCAAAGUAUAAAUUUGUUGCAUUUCUAAUGAAAAUUUCAAAUGAAUUUUUAGUGGAAAUUAUAAGAUGAUUUUAAAGUUCUAAAUAGUAAGUGUACAGGAUUAACCAAAAUGUUUUUGGAAAGAAUUAAUGAGGGUGAACUUACUCAAGUAAGUAUCGGAACUAUAAAGCUAGCAUAUUUAAAACAGGGUGGUAUAGGAGCAGGAUUAGACAAAUAGAUUAGUGGAACAGACUAGAAUCCAGAAUAGCCUCAUGUAUAUGUUUAUGAUAGAGGUGGCAUUUCAAAUAGGUGGGAAAGAAAAUGAUAGGCUCUUCGAUAUUUUCAUAUACAAAAAUUCAUUUCAAAAGAAAGAUUAACAUAAGGUACUAGGAAAAAAAAUUCAAAAAAUUUGUUUCGUAAUCUUAGGAAAGCCUUCCUAAGCAAAAGAAGUACCAGAGGCCAGAGAGAGAAAUUUAUGUAAAACUAUAUAAAUAUGUAAAAGAUUACAGGAUACAUCGCUGAAAAGUUGAGACAAGAAGUAUACUGGAAGAGAAUAAAUACAAUGUGUAUGGUAUAAAUGAUUCAUAUAUAUAUUAUGUAGAAAAAAAUUAGAAAGGGUAACAAUAGAAAAAAGUGAGCAAAGGAUAUAAAUACAUCAAGAACAAAUUAACAAAGGAAAGGAUGCGCAAUCUCACGAGUAUUUUUUUAAAAAAAAACUAAACCCAUUGCUGUUGAGUCAAUUCUGACUCAUGGUGACCCUAUAGGACAGAUUAGAACUGCCCCCAUAGAGUUUCCAAGGAGCUCCUGAUGGAUUUGAACUGCCAGCCUUUUGGUUAGCAACUGUAGCUCUUAACCAGUGCGUAUUUAGAGAAACCUAAAGCUGUGAAAGACUGCUGUUUACCCAUCACGGUGGUAAAAACUAAAAGAUUAUGGCUAAUGACUGUCAGAAGGGAAUAGAUAAACAGUCACUUUGAUGACGCUGCUGGUGAAAGAUAACUAGUGUGACCCGUGAAGGGCAAUUUGACAGUGUCAGAUUUUAAAUUUAUAUUACCCUUGAGCGAGCAACUACCCAGUUCUAAAAUCUUCCAAAUAACUUGCUCAGAUGUUUGUACUUAGUCAUUACAGCACUUUGGAGAAAAACUUGAAUAUCCAUCAUAAAAGAAUGGCUAAGUUAUGCUACAUUCAUAAUAUGAAAUAUUACACAGUGGUAAAAAUGCACUAAUUAACAUGGAAAUAGUAGUAAAAUAGAGUAAAUGAAAAAAAUGCCAAACAAUACAUAGAUGGUCACUUUUUUUUUUAAUUUUUAAAUUUUGUAAUUCUUUGUAAGAAAAGUAAAGUGUGCACUGUCACGGAAAGUAAAAGAAGAUAGUUUUUAGGAGUAUCUGGGCCAGGAGAGAUUUAAGAGGCUAAGAAAAGCACAUUGGUUUUGGAGAAUAGGAAAUAGUGAAGUAAUCAAGAGGCAAAAACCACUUGCACAGGAUUUCAGGGUAAGCGAAUGACUGACUAUGAAGGAAGUUUCCCACUUGAAACAAGGUUCAGAACACAUUGGUGGCAUUCUUCACGCUGAAGUGGGCAUUUCAGCAUUCCUGAGAAUCAGAACCCUUUGUAAGUAGAAGUCUUAAGGUUCCAAUUAGUAAAAGUAGCUAAAGUCCACCUCUAUCUCAGUUUUUCCAAAUUUGAUAAAGCAGGCUGUCCCUGUAGUCAGCUCUUGGAAUCUAGUUCCAGAGGAGAGAGCAGGAAUAACCGCAGGCCAAAAAUGGAAUUGAGUUUUGGUAACCAUCUCUACUCUUUUCUGCCCAUGUAUCCUCUUGCUUCCCAAACAUUCUUACUCUCCCUUGGGUGUCCAUCCCCAUGGGUGCUUCUUGACUCAGCUCACUUUUCCCUACCUGUCCAACAAAGUGCCUGUUAUCUCAUGUUGCUGACUCCAUAUACGAUUAUGAGAAACUUCCCACUCCUACGGUUGAAGUUCAGGCCUUUCUUGUCUUCACAAUAGCCUGGUAUUUCCGUUUCUGUCUCCAGUUUACCUCCCCUUUUUCUGUUGCUGUAGAGUCAAUUCCAACUCAGGGCAACCCUGGGUGGUUGGAGGUUGAGUCUACCCAAGGCACCUUGGAAGAAAAGCCUGGCAUUCUUCCAAAAAAAAACCAGCCAUGGAAAACCUUAUGGAGCACAGUUCUACUCUGAUACACGUGGGAGUCUCCACCUUCCUUUUAAUCUUAACCUUCAUUCUGUAAACCUUACUUUCCACUCGCAGGCAUGGUUACAUGCCUCUUUAGAUCUCCUUGAAUGUUUUUUAUAAAUCUCUCUUAGAGCACUUAUUAGGUGCUGAAUAGGCUAUAGAGAAAGCCAGGCAGGAAAACAGAUAACUAGAAUAUUGUUGUUAGUUGCUGUCGAAUUGAUUCCGACUCAUGGAGACCCCAUGUGUUACCGAGUACAACUGCUCCAUAGGGUUUUCUUGGCUGUAAUCUUUACCGGGCCUUACUUCCACAGUAUCGCUGGGUGGGAUUGAACCACCAACCUUUAGGUUAGCAGUUGAGUGCAAAAUGUUUGCACCACCCAGGGACCUACCUAGAAUAUAGAAUUUUCUGUUUUAGAUAAAGCUGUUAAAAUGAGAAUUUUAAAUACAUAAUUAGGUCCUUUUCUCAAAGCUUUUUUUUAAAAAACUUUAGCUGAAUUACAGUGUAAUUGCUUUGUAGUAUUUUCUAAAACAGUGUGAAGUUUUAAGUAAGAAUAUUGGGUUAACAUCAGCAUUCUAAGGAAAGUAAAAACUCAAUGAAAUCGUUAGAUUUUAGGAAAUGCAUCACAAACUUCAAGUCUUAAUUCAAAAGACAGCGUUCAGUCUUCCCUGAGACUCCACCUUUUCUUGCUGCCCUUUCCAGCACAGAUUACUAGUUCUAGCUCCCCAGUGCUAUGUGUUGACUACUACUUUUUCAUCCUCCUUAGGCUAAAACCCAGUGUUCCUGAUUUCUGAAUUAGUUACCAAGGCUUAGUAUUCUUCAGAAUAAAUUGUGGAGCUUCUUAAAAUGUUAGAGGUUCACUUCAGACCUGAAAACACCUGAAUAAAAAUCUACUAGGUGAGGAAUCUCUGUUCUUAACAUUCACUAUAAAUGAUUCUAAUGUAUAGCCAAAUUUGGGAACCACAAAUCUAGAUCACUACCCACAUCUAGCAUCCCAUCUCAAAGAGAAAAUCGAAAUAGAACUCUCAAUCCCCCUCCCAUUCCAACUGUAAAUACCUGUAACCAUCUCAGAAAAAGCACUCUCCUCCAUUCCAAGGUUAAUUCCUCUUGUGCUUUUGAUGCCAUCUUUUUCCAGCUCUGAGGCCUCCUUUCUCUACACUGAGCUCCUUUUAACAUAUAUGCUAAUGCCGUUUCUAUUUGUCUCAUUCUGUCUACAAUUUAAUCUCUGCAGUGGAAUGUCAUAAAAGAGCAGCUUACUAUAUUUCAUUAUCUCACCCACAUAAAUCAUUGCAACUGGCAUUGGCACCCACUCAGCUUAAAACUUCUCAGGCCAACAGUGGUAUUUCUCAGUCUUUUUUUUUAAGGGAGUUGGUUAUUUUCUAUUAUAUGCUUAAGGGAAUCAUUCAGUACCAUAUUUUGUUUACUACUCACAAUUUCAAUUUUUUUUCCCUUUACUGGUUUUCCAGUAGUGUUUUUCAUGCUUCAAUAAUGCUUCUUUCUCUCCUUCCCACCCACUAAUCUGUUUGUUCCCUAAGACUUGUCUUUAGCCAUCUUCUCCCUAUGUACACAUACUCUUGGGACAUUUUUAGGUUUGAAUAUCGCCUUUUUUUGAAUGUCACAUACUUUUAAGCAUUUGGUAAGAGGUGUGGAUUAUCUUCCCAGAAAAAUGCGUGACAGGAAAUUUUGCCUACAUUUUUGGAUUCACAGACCCCAGUAUUUUUCCAUAGACAGUGUUCAUCUGUAUUUGUAAGUUCAGCUGUGACGUAGUGUAUUUUUUACUCCCAAAUCCCAUGGACAUUUACCAGUUUUCUUACUGGGCCUCUCUGUAGCAUCUGAUAAUCUCUUUAAAAUUUUAUCCACUUGAUCCUUACAAAAAACCUCUUAGAUGCAGAUGUCAGUCACUUCUGUUUAAAAUUUCUAGUGACUGCCAUGGUCAUCAGGGAAAUGCAAACUUAGCAUGACCAAGAAGGCUCUUCAUAAUAUUUUACUCAAAAUCACUGGGUUUUGUCCAUAUAAAAAUUAAUUUUUGAAAACGUGUUUUCAAGCCUUUGUAUUUGCUGUUCAUUCUCCCUAGAUAUCUGUCCUGCAAAUAUAGACGCCACUCCUAUAGUUAUCCUCCAAAAUCAAAUAUCACCACCUCUAAAAUUAACCCAUCUCCAGGUAGUCUGUAUACCUGUUUCUGUCCUAGCAUUCAUCUUAGAAUAUCUUUUUUUUUUUUUUUUUUCCUAUUAUGGCAGAAAUAGUGUUGAAUAAGAUGAG